rnacentral:sRNA from 1 species
AUAGACGAUGUUGCCGCCCGGCUCGAUGAGCUGGAUGUCGCCGGUCGCGAGGAUACG